AUGGCAGAGGUAGAGCAGAAGCUGACGUUCCGCAAAUUCACCUACCGGGGCGUGGACUCGGACCAGCAGCUGUACAUGACUCACCAGCAGCUGAUGCAACCGUACAGUGCGUGCCAGCGGCAGAAGCUGAACCCGGGCCUGUGGCGGAAACAGCACUUGCUGCCCAAGUGCCUGCGCAAGGCCACGAAGCCGGAAGUGGAGAAGCCGGAAGUAGUGAAGACGCACCUGGGGGACAUGAUCAUCCUGCCCGAGAUGGUGGGCAGCAUGGUGGGCGUCUACAACGGCAAGACCUUCAACCAGGUGGAGAUCAAGCCAGAGAUGAUCGGCCACUACCUGGGCGAGUUCUCCAUCACCUACGAGCCGGUGAGGCACUGCCGGCCCGGCCUCAGGGCCACCCACUCCUCCCGCUUCAUCCCCCUCAAGUAGAGGCUCAGCUAAUAAAGGCACACAUAUCUCC